UUUCAGGACAGAAAGAUUCCCCUCCGGCUGGGCGUGGUGGCUCAUGCCUGUAAUCCAAGCACUUUGGAGGCUAAGGCGGGCGGAUCACCUGAGGCCCUGGAUGACUCAGUUCUGAAUAGCUACUCUUCCAACUCCUCUCUGCCUCCUUCUGAUUCCUCCAUUGCUUCUCCUCUGCUCUUCUUCUUGUGUUAUGAAAAUACCUCAACCCUGAGCUCAGCUCUUCCCAAAGCCAGCAGAGAGAGACUCUCUCAGGAGGCUGCCAGAAUCAUGUUCAUCCCAGACUAGGGCUCCUUCCAGAAACUAGCUAGCUGGCUAGGGUCAGACAUGGAGAGAAAUGGCAGAAGAAAGUGUCUCCAAACUGUUACUGAUGGUUGAUGAUUCCACUCGGAAUUUCCUCAUCUUUAAGUUCCAGAGACAAAGUCUCACUGUGUUACCCAGGCUAGUCUCAAACUCCUGACCUCAAGCAAUCCUCCCACCUCAGCCCCACAAAGUGCAAGAAUUACAGAUAUGAGCCACUGCACCCGGCCAAGGGGCAGGGUCUUGCUCUGUUGCCCAGGCUGGAGAGCGGUGGUUAUCAAGCUUACUGCAACCUCAAACUCCUGGCCUCAAGUGAUCCUCCCACCUUGGCCUCUCGAUCCUUCCUUUUUAUUGCUGAGUAAUAUGCUAUUGUUUGAAUAUAUUACAAUGUAUUUCUUCACUUGUUGAUGGAUAUUUGGAGUUUUCCAGUUUUGUAUUACAAAUAAAGCUACAGUGAAUAUUCAUGUACAA